GGAUGUGAGGGUAAUCUGGCUACAACAUCUGUCACCCCAUUGAUCUUGAUUAACAGGAUUGAUUUGGCUGAUCUGGCUGGCUAGGCCCCUUCCUCUUUUACCAUUCCAUGCGUGUCCCUCCUGAAGCUGCAUGCUUGGUCAAAGAGGACGACCACUUCCAAUAGAGGAGGACCGUUUCUUCAGUCUAGGGUAUACGAGUAGCUGCACUCUCCUGCUAGAACUUCCAAAUAAAUUCUCAAACAUGAACAUACCACUCAGGUAUACACAUUCACAACUGUUCUACCAACAAAACUGGGCACAGAGAUUCCUCCUUAUGUUUUCCUUU
ensembl:misc_RNA 7SK 7SK RNA